rnacentral:rRNA from 1 species
ACGAACGCUGGCGGCGUGCUUAACACAUGCAAGUCGAACGGAAAGGCCCUGCUUUUGUGGGGUGCUCGAGUGGCGAACGGGUGAGUAACACGUGAGUAACCUGCCCUUGACUUUGGGAUAACUUCAGGAAACUGGGGCUAAUACCGGAUAGGAGCUCCUGCUGCAUGGUGGGGGUUGGAAAGUUUCGGCGGUUGGGGAUGGACUCGCGGCUUAUCAGCUUGUUGGUGGGGUAGUGGCUUACCAAGGCUUUGACGGGUAGCCGGCCUGAGAGGGUGACCGGCCACAUUGGGACUGAGAUACGGCCCAGACUCCUACGGGAGGCAGCAGUGGGGAAUAUUGCACAAUGGGCGGAAGCCUGAUGCAGCAACGCCGCGUUCGGGAUGACGGCCUUCGGGUUGUAAACCGCUUUCGCCUGUGACGAAGCGUGAGUGACGGUAAUGGGUAAAGAAGCACCGGCUAACUACGUG